GAUGAAGAACGUAGCGAGAUGCGAUACGUAAUGUGAAUUGCAGAAUUCAGUGAAUCAUCGAAUCUUUGAACGCAUAUUGCGCUCUCUGGUAUUCCGGAGAGCAUGCUUGUUUGAGUAUCAGUAAACACCUCAACUUCCAUAUCUUUUUUGAAAUGGGAGUUGGACUUGAGUGAUCCCAACGCUUUUCCUCACCGAAAAGUGGCGGGUUACUUGAAAUGCAGGUGCAGCUGGACUUUUCUCUGAGCUAUAAGCAUAUCUAUUUAGUCUGCCUAAAAACAGAUUAUUACCUUUGCUGCAGCUAACAUAAAGGAGAUUAGUUCUUGUGCUGACUGAUGCAGGAUUCACAAAGACAGGCUUCGGCCGACUUUGUAAACUCGAUCUCAAAUCAAGUAAGACUACCCGCUGAACUUAAGCAUAUCAAUAAGCGGAGGA
rnacentral:misc_RNA from 1 species